AGAUCCGCCUCCAUCGCAGCCAGAAGCAAGAAGCUGUCUUCCCGCCCCCGCGUGCCUACAAUCAGCCCCAGUCUCCCUGGGAAACCGACGAGCGCACCUGAGCUGGGUUCUGAGCUCCAGCGUUUUGGGGCUAGAAGUUGCGGACUAGUAGCUGAGGCGGCACGGGAGUGUAGGCGCGCGGGGUCGUUGCCGGGGGCACAGAGUGAGAACAAGCAAGGGAGCCCUGCUGAAUUGCAGCUUAGGAAGCCCUGAAUCCUGGAGAUAUGUUCCUGACCCUUCCUUCUUGAAGGGACAGCUGUGUAACCAUUCAACCAUCUGGCCAUCAGUUUCCACAUCUGUGAAAUCAACUUCUGCCUCAUGGAGCCGUGAGUUCCCAAGUGAAGGCAGUGAGGGGCUGUGGUGUGAUCCAGGAGGCUGAGAAUUAUGCAGUGGGUGCUGUCACCUUGAAGACAUCAGCGUGAUCAGGCAGAUCAUCAUGGUACUGCAUUUCCUGGACACGAUCUUAAUUUUCUUAAUACCUCCACCGACAUUUCAAAUAGCGUCUCUAAUGCCCCAGAGACUUUUAUGCCCCUAAGGUAGUUUUCUUUCUUUUGUGAAGCAGAAGAAGGGAAAUUGUUAAAGGGAAUAUUUUAACUAAAUUUAUUUCCAUAAAACUAUCUUUGUCUUUAUAUCUCAUGGAAAGUGUUAGGUAGCCUCAGGAUUAUAUCUCCGUUGGAAAACUGUAGAUGUAAACCUUCUUGCUAUCUACAUACUUACAUAUUUUUCUGUUGUUAUUUACUUAUGAAUAGCAUUUUGAUUAUAGCAGAAAUAAAAUACAUUAAAUGACUAAGCUCAGAAAUAAGAAAAAAAGGUCAAUGGUGAUCAUUUAUUUGGAAACUAUGAUAUUUUAAUGAUAUUAAUGGUGUAAUUGACAUUUAGUUAAACAUAUUUCAUCGUAAGUAGAGCACUUUAACUCUUACGGUCCACUUAAAAUGUAAUCAUACGUUUAUGUAUUUCUAGUUAAUGUAUCAAACUCAACUGAGUAAUCAAUGUACAUCAUUUAUUUUGCUCCUAAGUUAAUACACUAAGUUAUGCUUUAAAAUUACUAAUUUGCUGCAAUAUCCAAUACUCUCUUUUAAGUCUUACGUCUGCAGAAAAGGAUAUAAACAUUUCAUGACACCAAACCCAAGUAUUUUUGAUGCCCUUGGCAGUGUCAGUUGAACAGACAGUGUCAUUUAAUGUUUGAGACAGCAUCUGAAUUCCUUUUAUUCUUAAAAUUCUAUUUUAAAAUGCAGUUUUUGGAAAGUUAAUGUGAAUAGAAAAAUUUCUAACAUUUUAUGUGCAUGUGUUUUGUUUGUUACAGGCUUAGCAUCUCAAAUCUGAAAAUUCGAAAUCUGAAAUGUUUCUAAAAUUCAACUCUUUUGAGUGCUGAUAUGACUUUCAAAGGAAAAGCUCAUUGGAGCAUUUCAGAUUUUGGAUUUUUGGAUUUGGGAUGUUUAACCAGGGUAAAAUAUAGAAUGCAAAUAUUCCAAAAUCUGAAUAAAAUUGAAAUCUGAAAUGCUUAUGGUUCCAAGCAUUUUGGAUAAGGGAUAAUUAAGCUGUAUAACUUAUAAAACUGAAUAUAACAAAAUUUCCCAACAUGUGGAAAAUGAUGUCUUUUUUCAAAAAUGUCAAUAGCAGAUACAUGGUACAGUAAGUUAGGGGAAAAAAUGAGGUUUCAUAUCUUCUAGUUUCCUAAUUAAAAGGAGCCCAUUCUGGGUUGGAAGAAAGUGUCAGUAAGAUCAUUUCUCCUAUUUGAAAAUCAUACAAAGCUUGUCAGAGUGACUCAGGCCAGGAGUGUAGCUGGGCGUGUAGCUAAAUGAUAUCUCCCCACAUCUAUAUAAUAAGCUGUUACCUGCUUUAAAAGGAAAAGCUCUCAGCAUGACUCUAAUGUUGCAUUUCUGGAAUACAGCUUGAAAAGCUCUUCUCAGGGUUGAACAGAGCAUGAAGGUAAUGGUUAUUAUCUACUCACAUUAAAAAAAAAAAAAAAGAAAGAAACCACCACAGAAAACUACUUACUGUCUUUAGGCUCUACUUUCAAAAGUGCCCUUUAUGAACGCUUUUACACUGUUGAUGGGAGUGUAAAUUAGUUCAACCAUUGUGGAAGACAGUGUGGUGAUUCCUCAAGGAUCUAGAAUCAGAAAUACCAUUUGACCCAGCAAUCCCAUUACUGGGUAUAUACCCAAAGGAUUAUAAAUCAUUCUAUUAUAAAGACACAUGCACACGUAUGUUUAUUGCAGCACUGUUCACAAUAGCAAAGACUUGGAACCAACCCAAAUGCCCAUCAAUGAUAGACUGGAUAAAGAAAUUGUGGCACAUACACACCAUGGAAUACUAUGCAGCCAUAAUAAAAGAUGAGUUCAUGUCCUUUGCAAGGACAUGGACAAAGCUGGAAACCAUCAUUCUCAGCAAACAAGAACAGAAAAUCAAACACUGCAUGUUCUCAGUCUAAGUGGGAGCUGAACAAUGAGAAAACAUGGACACAGAGAGGGGAACAUCACACACUGGGCCUGUUGGGGGGUAGGGGGCUAGGGGAGGGAUAGCAUUAGGAGAAAUACCUAAUGUAAAUGACAGGUUAAUGGGUGCAGCAAACCACCAUGGCAUGUGUAUACCUAUGUAACAAACCUGCAUGUUCUGCACAUGUAUCCCAGAACUUAAAGUAUAAAUAAAUAAAUGAAUAAAUAAAUAAAUUUUAAAAAGUGCCCUUUAUGUGUGUGUGUGUGUAUAUAUACAUAUAUAUUACAUAUAUGUUUUAAAUAUAUUUAUUUUUUGUAGUUCAGAGGUCUUUUAUCUUUCUAUACCUAUUAUGCCAUGAAUUCAUAGGGAAUAGGUUCCAGCAGCUCAGGCUCCUCUCCAUUGGUUCUCCAAAGUGUGCUCCUCUGGGUGGAGCUGGCUGACACCAAGUACCUUUGUCUUUGGCUUCCUUUUUUUCUGAUCAUUUUCCUUCACGCGUUUCAGGAAGCUAUUUCGGGUCUUAGAGUGCUUAAUGUGCUUAAUAUGCACAUUAAUUCUCUUGGCAAGAAUCCUGCCCUUGUUUGUUUAGAACAAUGCCAACAGCAUGCUGGGUAACAUUGUAGACUCUUCCAGGUUUGCCAUGGUAGCACUUGUGGGGCAUUCCUUUUUGAACAGUAUCCAUUCCUUUGAUGUCUACAAUAUCGCCUUUCUUGUGGAUUCCCAUGUAUGUGGCCAAAGGAACAAUUCUAUGUUUUCUGAAAGGCCAAGAGAACAAUUAUCAGGUGACUCUCCUGUUUCCCUUUGUGUUCGUCAUUUUGGUGAAUUACUGGAAGAUGGUGGUUCUGGCUGAAAGAGCUAUUUUUGUAGCUUUGAUUCUGCAGUUAUUAAUUUUUAUAUUGUUGAUUUGUGCAUGUGUAAUUAUAUUCAACCUUCUCUCUCUGAGAUCUGAUGGUAUAAAAGGAUGACAUUUAUGUUGCCAAAUAUUUUACCUAAGUAAAAAAAUAACUGAAUAUAAAAGAUUACAUUUAUCAUAAAUUAUAUACCCUAAACUGCAUAAUCAGAGUAGCAAAAUGCAGACACUUUCAUCAAUUCAAUUUUGAUGGUUUAAAAGCAUUUUCCCCCACUGGUGUGCUGAAACUGGCCUGCACUGGCUUAUAACAGCUGAUUGUUAGAUUUUUAGGAAUCAUGUUGGCAGCUUGAAAUCAGUCAUAGAAGGAGUAUUUACACCAUGGAAACCAGCAAAUGUUACAAACCAGCACUUUUUUUUUCCCUCCAGGGAGAAGCCAGAUGUUAAACAUUAACCAGUACACUACUACCUAUGUACACAAAGUCUCUCUCUUUCUCUCCUCUCUCUCUCUCUUUUUCUCCUCUCUCUCUCUCUUUCUCUCCCUAAUAAAGUUUGUAUGAUUAGGAGGAAGAAAUUACAUGAUUAAUAUCAAAUUGCCUAUUACAAUUUUUUUGUAAAGUUGUUGUGAAUUGAAUGUAUUAUAUUCUUGGGAGAAUAAAAUGAAGUCUGGACCAAAGAUGAAUGUCUUGUAGAAAAUGUAUGAAUUGGUUUCAGAAGGUACAGUUCUAGAUUUUCUCGACAAUCAAAAACAUGUUCAGUGAAAAUGAAUACUUUUUUAUUUUAAUAAAUAAGGAC
rnacentral:lncRNA from 1 species